UGCCCACUGCAGUGAGGCUUCUGGGCCAUA
rnacentral:piRNA from 1 species